rnacentral:rRNA from 1 species
UACAGGGGGUGCAAACGUUGCUCGGAAUUAUUGGGCGUAAAGCGCGCGUAGGCGGCUACCUAAGUCGGAUGUGAAAGCCCCUGGCUUAACUGGGGAAGUGCACCCGAAACUGGGUAGCUAGAGUGCAAAAGAGGGUCGCGGAAUUCCCGGUGUAGAGGUGAAAUGCGUAGAUAUCAGGAGGAACACCGGUGGCGAAGGCGCUCAUCUGGCCCAAUACUGACGCUGAGGCGCGAAAGCUAGGGGAGCAAACGGG